ACAGAGGGGGCAAGCGUUGUCCGGACUGACUGGGCGUAAAGCGUACGCAGGCGGUCGCGGGCGUCGGUGCUGAAAGUCCACCGCUUAACGGUGGGAUGCGUGCCGAUACGCCGCGACUGGAGCCAUGUAGAGGUCCGUGGAAUUGCCGGUGUAGUGGUGAUAUGCGUAGAUAUCGGCAGGAACACCCAAGGGGAAGCCAACGG
rnacentral:rRNA from 1 species